rnacentral:lncRNA from 1 species
CCCGGUUCCGAAGAUUAUACAAACUCUGUGGUGGAUUCUGCAUCGAAAUAUUGCUCCUUGCCUGCAAGCAUGGCAAAGGUUCAACCAGCUAGCCGGUACCGGUCGAGGGGACUCCUACUGGAACCUUGAGUCGCAUGUCACUCAUGUGAUCUACAGUAACCACUGAAUUCGCUCCACAGACAACAUGGCAAAGAUGAAAAUUUAUUUUGAUAUUAAAAAUAAACUCUUGAAGAGUAUUUGUGACAUUCCAAGGCCAUCUAUCUUGAUGAAAUUAUAUCAUGCGUUCCAAAUUCUAGAAUCCUCAAAUUAGAAUUUUAUCCAUUUAAUCAUAGGCAUCAACCAGACGAGCGGGUAUUGGUGGUUAUGCAUGAAAGCACUGCAGCCAGUUCAACACUAUUGCUGCUUUCUGGUUGAGAGAGAGAGAGAGAG